rnacentral:tRNA from 3 species
GGGGAAUUAGCUCAGUUGGGAGAGCGCCCGCCUUGCACGCGGGAGGCCAGUGGGUUCGAAUCCCCUAUUCUCCA